UCCACAGUAGUAUCGGGUUUUUUUGG
rnacentral:piRNA from 1 species